UCUUUCAAAGCACCUCGAGCACAAUCGAUCUCCUCUGAUCUCAGAAGUUAAGUAGGGUCAGGUCUGGUUAGUACUCGGAUGGGCCGCCCGGAAAUACCAACUGGUUUAAGCU
ensembl:rRNA 5S_rRNA 5S ribosomal RNA